UACGUAGGUGGCGAGCGUUGUCCGGAUUUACUGGGCGUAAAGGGAGCGUAGGCGGACUUUUAAGUGAGAUGUGAAAUACUCGGGCUCAACUUGAGUGCUGCAUUUCAAACUGGAAGUCUAGAGUGCAGGAGAGGAGAAUGGAAUUCCUAGUGUAGCGGUGAAAUGCGUAGAGAUUAGGAAGAACACCAGUGGCGAAGGCGAUUCUCUGGACUGUAACUGACGUUGAGGCUCGAAAGCGUGGGGAGCAAACAGG
rnacentral:rRNA from 1 species